rnacentral:antisense_RNA from 1 species
AUUGAUGAGUUGGUGCUCGAUCUGAUAAACAGUGGAGAGCCACUCUUCACAUUUAACCAUCCCCAAAUGGUGCCAGUUGUCUAAAGACAUGCCUGAACAAGUGAACAGUGUUUGACAGACCUUAUAUCUCCUUUCUAUCGCACCAAAAUCGCUGUAGUGAGCUCAGGCAAUGUUUUGACUUGCUGGUGUGCUGAUGCACUUCAGGAUAAAAAGAAUUGGUCCACAUUGUAGCAAUAACUUCCAGGAAGAAAAGUUUAACAGUGAGACCUCACAGACAAAGCCCUCCAGAAUUUCCAAGAGGCAUUUUUCAGCACAGAACGAUGCCAAAAGACAUCACGAAGUUGCGUCUGGAGAGCAAAGCAGUAAGAUUGGACCAGAUUAUCUCUACAACUUCUUCCAGUGCAAACACUCUGUGAAUGAAGGCACUUGCCUUCUC